AUUGAACGCUGGCGGCAGGCUUAACACAUGCAAGUCGAGCGGAGUGAUGGUGCUUGCACUAUCACUUAGCGGCGGACGGGUGAGUAAUGCUUAGGAAUCUGCCUAUUAGUGGGGGACAACAUCUCGAAAGGGAUGCUAAUACCGCAUACGUCCUACGGGAGAAAGCAGGGGAUCACUUGUGACCUUGCGCUAAUAGAUGAGCCUAAGUCGGAGUUAGCUAGUUGGUGGGGUAAAGGCCUACCAAGGCGACGAUCUGUAGCGGGUCUGAGAGGUUGGUCAGCCACACUGGGAGUGAGACACGGCCCAGACUGCUACGGGAGGCAGCAGUGGGGAAUGUUGGACCAUGGGGGGAACCCUGAUCCAGCCAGGCCGCGUGUGUGAAGAAGGCCUUAUGGUUGUAAAGCACGUUAAGCGAGGAGGAGGCUCGUUUGGUUAAGACCCAAGAUGAGUGGACGUUGCUCGCAGAAUAAGCACCGGCUAACUCUGUGCCAGCAGCCGCCGUAA
rnacentral:rRNA from 1 species